rnacentral:rRNA from 1 species
UACGUAGGGGCCGAGCGUUGUCCGGAUUCAUUGGGCGUAAAGAGCGUGUAGGCGGCCGCUUAAGUCCUGCGUGAAAUCUCGGAGCUCAACUCCGAGCGGUCUUGGGAAACUGGGCGGCUAGAGUGCGGGAGAGGAGAGUGGAAUUCCUGGUGUAGCGGUGGAAUGCGCAGAUAUCAGGAAGAACACCCGUGGCGAAGGCGGCUCUCUGGAACGCAACUGACGCUGAGAAGCGAAAGCGUGGGGAGCGAACAGG